rnacentral:lncRNA from 1 species
AAUGCCGGGAUGAGAAGAGCAUGACGACGUAGUGGAGACAAUGGCGGGUGGCAGAGAGGGCGAGGAGGGAGGAGGCCAGGAGGAGGAGAAGUGGUAGGCGAAGGGAGAGAUGGAGAGGGAGGAGAAGGGAGGAGUGCAGUAGAGAGGAGAUGAGGGGACGCAUGUGGGGACUUUGGGAAUGGGGGGCAUGAUGUGUGUGGGGAGUUUGAGAAGGGGUAGGGCGCGUAGGGAGAUGAAUCAGUAGGGUAAGAGAGAAAGAAAGAGAGAGAGAGAGAGAGAUUGAACUACCACAAUCCUCAAAUAACUUA